rnacentral:rRNA from 1 species
UACGUAGGGUGCGAGCGUUGUCCGGAAUUAUUGGGCGUAAAGGGCUCGUAGGCGGCUUGUCGCGUCGGAUGUGAAAGCCCGGGGCUUAACUCCGGGUCUGCAUUCGAUACGGGCAGGCUAGAGUGUGGUAGGGGAGAUCGGAAUUCCUGGUGUAGCGGUGAAAUGCGCAGAUAUCAGGAGGAACACCGGUGGCGAAGGCGGAUCUCUGGGCCAUUACUGACGCUGAGGAGCGAAAGCGUGGGGAGCGAACAGG